rnacentral:rRNA from 1 species
AUGGGUGCCAAAGAGAAUGGCGAAGUGAGAGAUGAGAAGGGAGUUAGAUCAGAUUAUGAACCAUCCAGAGUUUCUGUUCCCUCACAAGGUGAGGCUCAUGGUAAUGAAGACAAUAGAGCGAAAAGAGGUUCAGUAGUUCCAAAGAAGCUCUUGAAAAAAGAGACCAAAGAAAAUAGCCCUCGCAUGGCCAAAAGCAGCACAAGUCGUCAAGUUCAAAACAAGGUGCAGCAGAAAGCACCAAACAACACUCAGAACAGAUCACCAAAACCUAGGAAAGCAGCAGUUAAUGCUGCUAGAGCAAUUGAAGUUAGAAGACCAGAUAUUGUAAAAAUACCUUCUCGCCCUCCAUCAGAACUGUCCGAGGAGGCAGAUGAUAUAGUUAGUGAAGCAGGAACCAUUGAUGAUAGAGGCAAUGAAGAGGCCAAAGAGAUUGAUGUGUUAGACGAAGCUCCACACUGCGAUCAGAGUACUGGUACUGACGAUGAAAUUGCUGAUAUUGAAGAAAAGAUGGUUGAUGAUGACAAAGCAGUUUUACAUCGGAGAAAUGAGGAACUACAGUCAAAACUUGAGAAGAUGGAGCAGGAACUUCGUGAAGUUGCUGCACUCGAAGUUUCUCUUUACUCUGUAUUGCCUGAGCAUGGAAGUUCAGCACAUAAGUUGCAUACCCCAGCUCGGCGCCUUUCUAGGCUGUACACUCAUGCAUCCAAGUUUUGGUCCCCGGAUAGGAGAGCUUCAGCAGCAAAAAAUACUGUUUCUGGUCUUGUUCUCGUUGUGAAAUCCUGUAGUAAUGAUGCUUCAAGGUUAACAUACUGGCUGUCCAAUACAGUUGUUCUCCGAGAGAUAAUUUCAAAAUCUUUUGGCAUCUCACGUCAAUCAACUCCAACCAUGACGUCUAAAAACUUAAAUGGCAGUGCACAAUGGUUUGAUGGAAAAUCCACGCCCAGAUCCAUGCCAGUGCCAUGGAACCACUCCAAUGGCAAGCAAACUGAACUUGCUUUCAUACAGAUAGCAGAUAAUUGGCAGGAAACUAGUACACUUUUGGCCGCAUUAGAGAGGAUUGAAUCUUGGAUAUUUUCUCGGAUUGUCGAGACAGUGUGGUGGCAGGCAUUAACUCCUCAUAUGCAAACCCCGGCAGAAGGUUCGUCUACCCCAAAAGCUCGGAAAGUGUUAGGCCCUUCCUUGGGUGAUCAGCAGCAAGGCACCUUCUCCGUUAACUUGUGGAAGGCUGCAUUUCACGAUGCAUACAGCAGACUCUGCCCUCUUCGUGCUGGUGGGCAUGAGUGUGGCUGCUUGCCAGUAUUGGCAAAACUGGUGAUGGAGCAAUGUGUGGCCCGUUUAGAUGUUGCAAUGUUUAAUGCCAUUCUUCGUGAAUCAGCUAGUGAGAUACCAACUGAUCCAAUAUCUGACCCAAUCGUUGACCCAAAAGUCCUCCCGAUCCCAGCUGGUGAGCUAAGCUUUGGGUCAGGAGCGCAGCUGAAAAAUUCUAUUGGAAAUUGGUCGAGAUGGUUGACGGAUAACUUGGGCAUUGAUGCUGAUGACCCUGAGGAUGAAGGUUUUGACAUAGGAAAUGGGAAUGACGAAAGAAUUGGUGCAGCUGAAGCAAAGUCUUUUAAGUUGCUUAAUGAACUGAGUGAUCUCCUGAUGACCCCGAAGGACAUGCUUAUUGAAAAAUCCAUCAGGAAAGAGAUCUGCCCUUCGGUCGGGCUUCCACUUGUAACAAGAAUCCUGUGCAACUUCACUCCUGACGAAUUCUGCCCCGAUCCUGUCCCUAGCAUAGUCUUAGAGGAGCUGAAUUCUGAGAGCUUGCUGGAGCGUCACACCGCAAAACAUGCGAUCAGCGCAUUCCCGUGCAUCGCUGCUCCUAUCGCGUACCGCACCCCUUCCCAACUGGAUGUGGAGGAGAAAGUGUCGGUAGUCGGAGGCAGCGCAAAGCUGGACAGGAGAGCCUCAAUGGUCCAGAGGAGAGGGUACACCAGCGACGAUGAUCUAGAUGACCUGGACUCCCCCCUCGCGUCCCUGUUCGACAAGAGCGCCCCACCUUCGCCGUCAAACGGCACCACGCCUUUCACUGCUCAGCAGAGAGGAGCUUCCAUGGAGAACGCGAGGUUUGAGCUCCUGAGGGAGGUAUGGCUGGAGCGGCGCGGCAGUGAUCCGGUGAACUUGUGA